UUUCCGUAGGUGAACCUGCGGAAGGAUCAUUACAGAGUUCAUGCCCGAAAGGGUCUACCUCUCAUCCUUGUGUAUUAUCACUUUGUUGCAUUGGCGAGAGCAAGCUCGCCAGAGACUACUACAACUCUUAUUAUUAAUGUCGUCAGAGUACUAUAGAAUAGUUAAAACUUUCAACAACGGAUCUCUUGGUUCUGAUAUCGAUGAUGAACGCAGC
rnacentral:misc_RNA from 1 species